rnacentral:rRNA from 1 species
UACGAAGGGGGCUAGCGUUACUCGGAUUGACUGGGCGUAAAGGGUGCGUAGGCGGCGCGGUAAGUCGGGUGUGAAAUCUUGGAGCUUAACUCCGAAACUGCAUUCGAUACUGCCGUGCUUGAGGACUGGAGAGGAGACUGGAAUUUACGGUGUAGCGGUGAAAAUGCGUAGAUAUCGUAAGGAAGACCAGUGGCGAAGGCGGGUCUCUGGACAG